AAGUCGUAACAAGGUCUCCGUAGGUGAACCUGCGGAGGGAUCAUUAACACUGUAAAAAGACGAAGUAGACUACUGCACUUGUGGUAAUAGUCUCACUUUUCUUUUAACCAACUCGCGAACGAAACUGUAUGCCCUGCCUCCUUAGCUGUUUCUGUUCAUUCAGAUCAGCUAGGUGUGUUUUUAUACUGUAUCUAUUGUUUUUAUACAAACCACAAUACUAACUGUUGUAACGUAGGUCAUAGUAUGAAUGCUAUGUCCUGAUCUUAUAACGUGAAUGUUAAGCACAACUCUUAGCAACGGAUAUCUCGGUUCUC
rnacentral:misc_RNA from 1 species